rnacentral:lncRNA from 1 species
UGCUGGCCAGUAAAAUGGGGAUAACAGUUCUUACCUUGAGGAGCUACGGAGAGAACUGAAUGGAAUAUAGCUUGUGAAAUCAGUGCUAGUGGUUUUGUUAUUAUUAUUAUUGAUCAAGCACUGUCCCACACCCUGAGGUUAGAGAGAGUACCUCAGCUUGGCUCCUGCCCCCAUAGAGCUUCCGGUCUAGUGACUGGAGCUGGGUAAAGAGAAGAACGGAGGACUCCAGGGAGGCCACGGUUCUCCUAGAGCUGAGAGGAAGAGUGAAAGCUAGAUAAUCUACAGUCCGAUGAUUAUGGAAUGGAAGCCCAUACAAUAUGAAGAGGCCGAAGCCCCAACUGGAAACGACGGAGCGAUUUCCCCUGCUGCCAUCAGUCUCAAGAAUUUUUCCAGGUCAAGAAGUACAACGUAUUUAGAAACCGGACAUGUGGAGCGGAAGGAAGAAGAAAAUAAGAAAAAAACAAAAACAGGGCUCGUCCGGGAUUUGAACCCGGGACCUCUCGCACCCUAAGCGAGAAUCAUACCCCUAGACCAACGAGCCACUGCUGUAAGUGCCCCCUCGACUCUCUUUCUAAGGAGAUCCGGCGGCGCCAUGGAGCCUGCGCAGUUCAACCCUGGGCCUCUCUUGCACCUGCGUCCAGCGCCCGCAACAAGCUCAAGACUCCGCGUCCGCUCGAUACAACCCAGACGCCGAGAUUCUUUCUUUUGCCUGCGAGCUCUGCGUCCGGACGUGGGGACAACGCACCCAGCCGUCGUGCGCUAGGGAUAUGUGCCUGUCUGCAGACGGAGCUGCGGGUUUACACCGGGUCUCGGCGCUCGCGCUGGACCUCGGGAGGGUGCUGGCCGCGGGGUCCCCCCCGCGCCGCCUAGCCUUUGCGGAGCUCCCUACCGCGGUCUCACGCCGCCAGCAUCAGUACCAGCACUGUCGCGCAGCCCGGGCCUUGGGCUCCUGGACGUCUGGCUUUAUGCGAAGAUAACCGGAGUUGGCGAGGCUUCGGCCUGAAAUUUCAUCCGGGCUGGGUCAGGUGUGCAGAUUCCUUCGUUUAGCACCGAACUUGGGCGGAACUCCCGUCCUCGCCAGGGGGGCCUCCUAGCACGGGGCGUGCCUGGCACCUCUUCCCGCCCGUCGCCUCUGCGUCCCCGGGCCCAGGAUUCUACGCUCCCUGAGAGGCCUCUGUGCGCAGCAUGGAUUCCAGACCCCCCAAGAGAAACAGGGGUUCCCUGGAGCCCCUCCACCGUUUGUCUCCUCUGUGUCCCUGGGAAAUGUAGCCGGCGUGUUUGGGCUGCCCGCCCCGUGAAAUGGGGGUAUCAAGGUCUGCCCGCUCUCUUCCGGAGAGGGGGAGGGAGGGAGGAGGAGCUGCGGGGUCCCCACCAUCGCACGCACGCCCCUGAGAGGGAAAGGUUGGUGGCAGUGCUGGCCCCCAGUACACAUGCCACCAGCCGUCCAGCCGAUUCCAGCCAAUUUCCAUUGCUUGUCAUUCCUCACACACACACCCCUGACUUACGCUGGGGACACUGAGACAACAAGGCCCGGGAAGGACUUUUGCAAACCCCUUACAGCUGUGCCUGCGUCUUCGGGGUUCGCUGAGCCUCGCACUUCCUUAUUCCCAGGUCUGAGGAAGUGCGGGCAGGAAGAAAUAUCUCAAGCUGGUCUGCUGGAAGCGUUUGUAAAGCUUCUUUCACUCCACAGCGCGAUGUGCCUGGCGCCUGCUCUGCCCCAGCCCUGGGCUGGGCCUUGGGGACACUGAUGAGUCAGACCUGCCUCCCGAACCCCCUGCCCAGUGGCGGCCACAGUGGCUGCGCCCUCUGCCCAGCCCAGGGCUGUGGGCUGGUCUGCAGGACCUCAGUCUGGGCCUUGGCUGGCUGUGGUUGCUGCUGAAGGAGGCUGUGGCCUGGACGCAAACCGGGGACCUCACCUCCUCGGCCUAGGCCCUCCACACCCCCAGAAAGGCCUUCUUCCUGGACAGUCCACACUGCUGCAGGCCCUGCAGGGGCUUCCUAGGGGCCUUGGGCAUAAUGAUGAGCUCUUAGCCUGCCACUCUCAGCCCUGAGACCUGAACCCCCUGCCCACUGUCACCUCUCAGCAGGCCCCCUCACUCCAUCUUGAACACCCCAGGCCAUGGUUCCAUUCAAAGCUGCCAUUCCAUGGAGGGUGCCCCCGGCUUCCUGUAAAUUCCCAGCUUUGCCCUUUCUGCUCCAGCACGUCCUCCACAAGGCAGACCCAAACUGGGUCAGGGCCUCCUCUGGUGCCCUCAGCUCCUGCGUUCCCUGUCACCCUGGCUGCCUGACCCCUGCAUACAUCUGUGUCUCCACCAGUGGGGUGGAGGGAAAGGGUUCCCGAGGAAGGACACGGGCCAGGUCAGCAGAGGGCCGGGCCCAGAUGACCUGUGGAGAGGGUUUGUUAAAUGAGUGCUAUUUUGUCUCUUUUCUAAAAGCUGAAACCAAAGAAAAACGUCACAACAGCUCAAAGCCUGGUCGGAGUCAGAGGUUCGAGAACAGCUCGUUUGCCCUCUCAAUCGGCACAAAAUGCCUGUCAGCCACGAAACGUCCGAGGGGGCUUCUCUGGCCCCUCUGUGACAGCUGGGGCCCUUGGAGAUGACUUCACUGGACAGGGGUCAGGCAGAGCAGGAGGGGCCCAGGAGGAGGUGACAAGGCGACUUUCUAACCAAAAGGGCUUCCGGCUCAGAGGCCUCAGUGUGGACUAAGUAGGCCCAGGAAUGUCUCGGGGAGGCCAUAUAGAGGCCAGAGCAUGGGAGAUGGCCAGGGGCAGGUACCUGUGGGUGCAUCCCCCCAGAGUUUGCAGAGAGGCAAGGGGCAAGGGAUGGAGGGUGGUGGGGAGUGGUUGUCUUUGCUCCUGCUGAGCCAGCAGGUGGGAUAAUAGGCCCAUCAGGCCUGAAGGCCACUCCUCCAGGCAAAUCUGGGCUGCGACUGGGCUCUCUGAGUAGAUGGUGUGAUAUAAAUAUUUAGGCCCCACUAGCUGUUCACACCCUUCUCAGGGGGGACUCAAGACUUCACAGCUGCAGGGCUGUGAUUGAUACCAUGCUCCUGACAGCGGCCAAGCAGGGAGUCCUGGAGAGUCUUGGCCCUCAGAGCAGAAGGGAAGGGGCAGGGAGAGAGGGAGGAGGGGGAGGGCAGUCUCCGUCACUCACACCCUCAUUUAUCCUGUUCCUUCAGCCCACAGCCCUGCGCUGGGAGCUGCAGGAGGUACACAGAGUGAUAAGCUGAUUCCUAAGGCGCUCUGUGCAGCUAGCGUGCGGGUGCUCCAGGGAGAAGAGGAUGAGUGGGGAGAGAAUGGGAAGGCAGGGAGGAGAGCAGGGAGCCGGAGGUGAGAGCGAGGAGGGGCCAGGGAGAAUGAAAACCCAGGCUGUUGGUGGUUUCUUCUUUUUUUAAGAGCCACAAGCUGAGAUCAAAGGUGAUAUUUUUGCAGCAACUGAAAUAGAAAACCACUGCGCGCACAGUGGGAGGUGAGCGGCGGGAACACAGGCCCCUUUAUGCAGCCUGUGGCCACAGCAAGCACGCUGCCCUCUGCCGAGUGUCAUGGGGCGUAGGGGACAGUGUGGCCUCCAUCCUCCCAACUUAGGUCCCAGAAAGAAGUGAAGGGGGUGAGCUACAGCUCUCGGUGCUGGGAGAGGAGAAGGUGGGCAGUCAAGGAUCGUAUGAGCACCCCGCGCCUGGCACCUUCCGCCAAGAUCACCCUCGCCAUUCUUGCUGGAGGUGUGAGAUUGGAGCCAGGCCCUGGUCAUCCUCACAGAGCCCUGUGAGGAAGGGUCAUUGUCACCCCUGUUUUACGGAGGAGGAAACCAAGGCUGCAAGGGAAAAAUAAUUUGGUCAAGUCGCACAGGGAGUUGGGAGCAAAUUCAGGACUAGGAUCCCAGGACUCCUGGUCCAACACCCUGUCUGCUCUCUGUGCUCACUCACACACUCACGUGCUGAAUUAUUUAUUGCGCUUCUGCUAUUGCUGGUCCUAGCUGGCCCCGACAUAGCAGGGCCCACACUCAAGUCUACCAGGACACUGGUUCUCAAAGUGUGGUCGCAGGAUCAGCAGCAUCAGCCUCACCUGGGAACAUGCUAGAAAUGCAAAUUCUCAGGCCCCAACCCAGACUUACUGGACCAGAAACUCUGGGAGUAGACCCAGCCCUCCAUAUUUUAAUGAAUUCUCCAGGGGAUUCUGAUAUGCACUGAAGUUGAGGGUCACUGUACUGUGUUACCUCAGUUUCCACAGCUGUGCUUCAGGGAAAAUUACAACACCCAUCUCACAAGGUUGAGCCCAGUAUCAGCUAACACGUGUGCUGUGUGUGUGCCCUGCAUCCUUCUAGGCCCUUUACAGAUGUCAACUAAUUUAAUUUCACAACUCCGGGAGAUAGGAACUAAUAUUGUCCACAUUUCACAAAUGAGGACAUGAAGGCACAGAGAGGUAGAAUAACUCGCCCAGGGUCACACAGCUAGUAAGUGGCAGAGAUCCAAGCUCUUAACAGCUAACCAGCGGAAAGCCCCCAGCAGAGGGUCUGGCUCCCGGAAUGUGUUCCAGGCGUGGCUGAAGAUGUGAUGAUGGCAAUUACUAUUACCUCACCUGAAAUUGAGAUGAUGAUCCCCAUUUUGUAAAUGAGAAAUUGUCCACCUUGUCAAGAUGGAGGAGUGAGUCAGCUGCAAGGGCAGCCUCAGUGUCUGAAAGCCCAGUGCAGGCCACAGGCCCUCACCAUUCAUGCAGCUUCGAGACCACAAUAUAGCAUCUCGGUCUUCUGGAAACAUCCCAGUUUGCUGUAGGGAAGAGCUUGGGCUCUGACAGAGGUGGGCUGGAACCCUAAUUCUGCUACUCAGGGGCUGUGUGACCUUGGACAAGUUGCCUCACCUCUCUGAGCCACCUUUUUCUUCUCUGUAAAGUGGAUGAUGACAGUCCUAACCUUGCAGGUUCCUGCGAGGGUUGGAGAAGAUGACAUUUGUGCCCAGCCCAGAACAUGUACUGAGCUGGCCAUCAGCACGCAGCUUGUCCCUCUCUCCUCCCCCUCCCUGCUACUACCUCCAUGGAAAGACCAGCUCUGGGCCCAGAAAACAGUUGAAAGAAGAAGAAAUAAGUUCCCAAAUGAUCACAAUGCAUUUGUCCUCCAGCCUCCCUGCCCUUUUCCAGAUCUCCUUGCAAUAGCCGCCCGGGCUGGGGCUUCUGGGGGAACUCUGGCACCUGCUCCAUCCAAGUUGGGAGGUAAGUAAGCUACGAAGGGAAGAGGAGGUGUCCUCUGAGCCACCACCGCCGCCCGGGGGGCCGCCAUCAGCCAAGCCUCUGCACACCCGCCUGCUGCGAGGCAGUCUGGCCUGGACAUCUGAAGCUCGUUAGCGGCCUGCUCCCGGGGGGCUGACCCUGCUUGGCGAGAGUUAUCCCAGACACAGCCGCAGAGGAUGGAGCCAACGAAGACCAGCUGGUCCCUGAGGAACAAGCCUUGACAGCAGGUCCUGGAAGACAGCCUUAGACCGGAUUCUGGAAAGGCCUGGCGUCUCUUCCCGAACAGCAGAGCUUCCGCCCAAACGGAACUGCUUAAGUGCAGGAUACAGUAGGAAAUACUCCCCGCCAGGACUCGGGAGCCUGCACCCAGCCCUGCCUAGUUUGUGGAUCGACUCUGUGUGACCUUGGGCCAAUCCCUGCCCUCUCAGUUUCUUCCACUGUAGAAUGAAGACUUGGACUUGACCAAGUGGUUUCCCCGCAGCCUAUCUCAGUCUUUCAGCUUCUCUUGGUCCAGGGCCGUGCCCUCUCCUCCUAAGUAGACCAUACAAUUUAGAAUCAGAGGGCAGGGUUCAAGCUCCCCAAGGUCAUCACUCCCUAGCUGUGUGACCCUGGGCAGGGCACCACACCCCUCUGGGCUCUGCUCCCCCAUGGAAAGACAGAGUUCAGAGAGUGCUCACCCUCUGUGUCUGUGUCUCAGGGCUGCCAUAGGUCACAUGAGAGGUGGACCUCCAAGAUGUCUGGACGAUGCAGAGCGAGGUGUUCUACUGGCCUAUUAACUGCGAGUGCCCCCUGCCUGCCCAGCGCCCAGCUCUGUCCUGGCUCGGGGUCUGGCCCGGGCUUGCAGAUGCAGCCCCUGCCUGCCCGCAGACUAACAGAGCUCUGGCAGGAGGAGUGUGCGGACCCUGGGCCCAGCCCGCUGGAUGAAGUGUCAGUUACUUUGCCCAGGGGGCCUCAGGGCCCAUGACAUCAUGGACAGCACUUUCCAUGUUGGAGCUCACAGAACUAAGGCCAUUUUAAAAAAUAGCACUGCCUUUUUUCCUUUCUUUCUUUUUCCAUUUUGGCUAAGGCAUGGAAUGUGAAAGCUGCUAAAUUAUUGCAGGAAGGAGUAGAGGCUGGGUUCGUAGCUGACUCUGCUUUCUGGGGUCCUAAAAACAAUGGCAAACCCAGGAAGGCUGGCCCUUGCUUCCUCAUGCCCACCUCAACCCCACUGCAGGCUCCCCUGACAAGACCAAGGGGCGGGGGACAAUAAUGACCUGCCCCUGGUUCCCAGAUGACCUCUCUGGACCUCAGCUUGCCAUCUGUUGUGGACUGGAUGUUUGUGUCCCCCCAAAAUUCAUAUGUUGAUGCCCUACCCGCUAGUGUGAUGGUAUUUGGGUGGCGCCUUUGGGAGGUCAUAGGUUUAGAUGAGGUCAUGAGGGUGGGGCCCCCAUGAUGGGAUUAGUGUCUUUCCAAGAAGAGGAAGAGAGACUAGAGGUCUCUCUCUCUCCGUGUCUCUCUCUGCCAGGGCACAAAGAGGUCGUGUGAGCACACAGCAAGAUGGCGGCCCUCUACAAGCCGGGAAGAGGGCUGUCACCGAGACCCAAUCUGCCAGCACCUUGCUCUUGGACCUCCAGCCUCCAGAACUGUCAGAAAUAAAUGUCUGUUGUUCAAGCCA